UUGAGAAUAAAAAUGCAUAUUGACAGGCUAAACAUUCCCUAUAUUAAGCCCAUGCUUGUGUGCCCAGACCUAGUUCUUUACCUAGGUCUGGUUUUAUAAAUGCUGGUGAUAAAC
ensembl:snoRNA SNORA72 Small nucleolar RNA SNORA72